rnacentral:rRNA from 1 species
GACGAACGCUGGCGGCGUGCUUAACACAUGCAAGUCGAACGUGAUUUUUAAGGAAAGCCCUUCGGGGUGGGAAUUAAAAUGAAAGUGGCGAACGGGUGAGUAACACGUGAGCAACCUACCUUACACAGGGGGAUAGCCGUUGGAAACGACGAUUAAUACCGCAUGAGACCACAGAAUCGCAUGAUAUAGGGGUCAAAGAUUUAUCGGUGUAAGAAGGGCUCGCGUCUGAUUAGCUAGUUGGAAGGGUAAAGGCCUACCAAGGCGACGAUCAGUAGCCGGUCUGAGAGGAUGAACGGCCACAUUGGAACUGAGACACGGUCCAAACUCCUACGGGAGGCAGCAGUGGGGAAUAUUGCACAAUGGGGGGAACCCUGAUGCAGCGGCGCCNCGUGAGNGAAGAAGGUUUUCGAAUCGUAAAGCUCUGUCCUANGAGAAGAUAA